UUCAAAUGACCUCUCCCUUCUCUCUUCAACCCCCAGCCAACCUUGUAACUCCUAUAUGUGUUUAUAUGUGCUGUGAAGUUUGUGACUUUAUGUUAAUUAAAGUGCAUGUGCAAGCAUAUAUUUGUAAUUUUCUUUUUUAAUUCUGUCACACUGUAAUUCUAAUUUUCUUUUUAAAAGGGAAUUAUUAUAAAAAUCAACUAUAUUAUAUUAUUGAACAUGGCAAUUCAUCAUUGGAUGACAAGGUACAGUGCAUUUUUAACUAAAUUCUUGUUUUUUUAUGAAUAUAUUUAGUUAAAUUUUGGUCAUUGGGGAUGGAAAUUGCAGUGAUGGUUUUUUUAAAAUGAAACUUGUCCCUAAAUAUUUCACUCCCUACCACAAUAUGGAGGAAAUUUACUGAUCUUGUAUAUCAUGUAUGAACUUGCAUUUCUUAAUCUUUUGGUUUUUGUUGUUAGCUGUAGAUGCACCUUAAAUAGGUUGUGUUUUAUUUGGAAACAAGCAUGAGGCAUCUUUUAUGCAAGAUUGAACCUACUUAUAUUAACUAUCCUCAUAUUUGAGGAAGAAAAAGGCUGUGAUGCAUUUUCCUCUAAACUGGUAGAGUUAGUGAUUCUGUCAUAGUGAAUGUAACAAAAGGAGAGCAAAAUUUUUUAACCCUAAAAGGCUUGGCAUAGUUUGUUUUGUGGUCACCUUUACUAUGUCUAUGUUCUUUUCUUUUUGAUAGGAAGGUAAAUUUAUUAUAGAGGAAAGAGAGUGAGAAAAUUCCAACUAAAGAAUGGAUAAAAUUUUCCUGAAACGGAGAAAACAAGAUAAGAACUAGAUAGAAAAGAAUCAAGAGGGCAGCCUACAAAUAUCUAAGAUGACAACUCCCUUGAAAUUGACAUGAUUGAAAAGUCAAAAGACUAACUUAUCACAUAAGAAGUUGACAAGUAUAGACACCUUCAAUGCUGCAAGCAUUUUGCUUCAACAAUUUGUGCCAAAUGAUAGCUGCACACUCUGACAAAUUUUUCAAUUCCUGCUUUUUUAUUAAAGCCUCUGUAGAUAACCAUCAAGUACUUACCUAAGGACACAAUCUAGUUCUCAUGAAGAUCAAACAAAUUGUUUCAUAGAAAAUGACUAGCAAUGUAGAAAUAAGUGUCCAACAGUUCCACAGCUUGCUUAUGCAUUAACGCAGAUCAGGGGAUAGGGCAAUGUAAGGUGUAUCAAUAUAUUCCAGAAAAAAAUGGGAUGGACCUAUUUUGAAUCUUAUGUUAUAAAUUUUGACAGUAUUGGCUGAUUUUUAUGAUAUUAUGUUAUGUCAUUGAGGGGCAAGUAGCUUUUAGUUUCAGAGCUGAGGCAGAUAACUCUAAACUGGAUUUGUCAUGUCAAGUUUGGAAUGGUUUGGUUUGCAAAAUGGAGAACAUAGAGUUGAUGAUUUCAUUUUGUUUACCUGAAUUCUGGAGAACAGCGAUCAAUACAGAUUAAAUCUCCCAUACUAUUAAAAUGUUUUAUAGUAGUGUACCAAUUGAGAUAUUUGCGUAAUUAUAUUAUCUAGUUAUAUGGAACCAACUGCCGUAUUGAUGAUAUUUCAGAAAGUAAUAGAAUGCAUUCUUGCAAAUUGUAAGAAUAAGGAGCUUGUCAAAUGAUCUCUUGAUUCUGGUCAUGCUGUUUAUCCUCAUUGUUUUCUUAUGUAUUAUAAUAUAAGAAGAGGACACAAUGGUUGGAGACUCUGAAUUGUGGACAUCAAUCGCUUUUUAUAAUAUAUGAUACUUCCAUCUGUGUGAUUUUUUGUCUGGUGUUGCUAGAGUUAACAACAUUAAUAGAUGUAGGCUUUGUAUUUUCGGUUAUGUUUGACUCCAAAUUCCUGCAGUCUGAUCAGAGUAUCUUAUCAAUUUUUUUACCCUUAGAAAAACAGAAUUGAAAGGGCUUUUUCCUUUCAAUUUGUUGAUUUCCAUGUAUGUUCGCUAACUAUCUAGCUCUAAGACACUUUCAUGUAUAAAUGAGUGUUGUCUCUUUGCAUAUUAUACAGACCUCUUUCUGAAAAACUUUUGUGCUCUUGGUUUGUUGUAUUUCCAAUCAUUUUUUAUUAACCAUGCUCAAGAAAUAGGAUUUCUGUGACUGUAGUUCUGUGCUCUGUGCUUACUUUUUCUUCUUCAUCUAAAUGUUUCCGAGCUUGCCAAGGUUAUCUGCAUUUGGUGAGCCUGUUCCUUUUUUUUUUGGUGAAGUUGGUGAGCUUGUUGUGUGAUUUUUUGUCUGGUGUUGCUAGAGUUAACAACAUUAAUAGAUGUAGGCUUUGUAUUUUCGGUUAUGUUUGACUCCAAAUUCCUGCAGUCUGAUCAGAGUAUCUUAUCAAUUUUUUUACCCUUAGAAAAACAGAAUUGAAAGGGCUUUUUCCUUUCAAUUUGUUGAUUUCCAUGUAUGUUCGCUAACUAUCUAGCUCUAAGACACUUACUUUCAUGUAUAAAUGAGUGUUGUCUCUUUGCAUAUUAUACAGACCUCUUUCUGAAAAACUUUUGUGCUCUUGGUUUGUUGUAUUUCCAAUCAUUUUUUAUUAACCAUGCUCAAGAAAUAGGAUUUCUGUGACUGUAGUUCUGUGCUCUGUGCUUACUUUUUCUUCUUCAUCUAAAUGUUUCCGAGCUUGCCAAGGUUAUCUGCAUUUGGUGAGCCUGUUCCUUUUUUUUUUGGUGAAGUUGGUGAGCUUGUUUCCUAGUGUUUAGCUAACCAAACUUUAGCUGUUAUUAAUUGAUGCCACACAAAACUUUGGUGUCUAAGAAAUUAAUGUUAAUAUUAUUUUAAGUUGUUGAUUUUACAAUCAUCUGAUGCAGCGCAGACUGAAAUUUAGAGCUUUGUGCAUAAAUAAU
rnacentral:lncRNA from 1 species